GGAUGCGAUCAUACCAGCACUAAAGCACCGGAUCCUAACAGAACUCCGUAGUUAAGCGUGCUUGGGCGAGAGUAGUACUAGGAUGGGUGACCUCCUGGGAAGUCCUCGUGUUGCAUCCCUCC
rnacentral:rRNA from 1 species